rnacentral:rRNA from 1 species
CCGAGUUUACAAACUCCCAAACCCUUUGUGAACCUUACCUAUCGUUGCUUCGGCGGGAUCGCCCCGGCGCCUUCGGGCCCGGAACCAGGCGCCCGCCGGAGGCCCCAAACUCUUAUGUCUUUAGUGGUUUUCUCCUCUGAGUGACACAUAAACAAAUAAAUAAAAACUUUCAACAACGGAUCUCUUGGUUCUGGCAUCGAUGAAGAACGCAGCGAAAUGCGAUAAGUAAUGUGAAUUGCAGAAUUCAGUGAAUCAUCGAAUCUUUGAACGCACAUUGCGCCCGCCAGUAUUCUGGCGGGCAUGCCUGUUCGAGCGUCAUUUCAACCCUCAGGCCCCCAGUGCCUGGCGUUGGGGAUCGGCGUGGGCGGCGACGGCUCUCCGGAGCCCGAGCCAAUGCCUGCCGGCCCCGAAAUUCAGUGGCGGUCUCGCUGUAGUCCCCCUCUGCGUAGUAGCACAACUCGCAUUGGAGCUCGGCGGUGGCCAUGCCGUAAAACACCCCACUUCUGAAAGUUGACCUCGGAUCAGGUAGGAAUACCCGCUGAACUUAAGCAUAUCAAUAAGCGGAGGAAAAGAAACCAACAGGGAUUGCCUC